UACGUAGGUGGCAAGCGUUGUCCGGAAUUAUUGGGCGUAAAGCGCGCGCAGGCGGUCCUUUAAGUCUGAUGUGAAAGCCCACGGCUCAACCGUGGAGGGUCAUUGGAAACUGGGGGACUUGAGUACAGAAGAGGAAAGCGGAAUUCCAGGUGUAGCGGUGAAAUGCGUAGAUAUCUGGAGGAACACCGGUGGCGAAGGCGGCAUCCUGGACCAACACUGACGCUGAUGAGCGAAAGCCAGGGGAGCAAACGGG
rnacentral:rRNA from 1 species